rnacentral:rRNA from 1 species
UACGAAGGGUGCAAGCGUUACUCGGAAUUACUGGGCGUAAAGCGUGCGUAGGUGGUUUGUUAAGUCUGAUGUGAAAGCCCUGGGCUCAACCUGGGAAUUGCAUUGGAUACUGGCAGGCUAGAGUGCGGUAGAGGAUGGCGGAAUUCCCGGUGUAGCAGUGAAUGCGUAGAGAUCGGGAGGAACAUCUGUGGCGAAGGCGGCCAUCUGGACCAGCACUGACACUGAGGCACGAAGCGUGGAGCAAACAGG